CAGCCGCCGCGGGAAUACGGAGGGAGCUAGCGUUGUUCGGAAUUACUGGGCGUAAAGCGCACGUAGGCGGCUUUGUAAGUUAGAGGUGAAAGCCUGGAGCUCAACUCCAGAAUUGCCUUUAAGACUGCAUCGCUUGAAUCCGAGAGAGGUGAGUGGAAUUCCGAGUGUAGAGGUGAAAUUCGUAGAUAUUCGGAAGAACACCAGUGGCGAAGGCGGCUCACUGGCUCGGUAUUGACGCUGAGGUGCGAAAGCGUGGGGAGCAAACAGGAUUAGAUACCCCCGUAGUCCCUGUCUCUUAUAC
rnacentral:rRNA from 1 species